GUGAUGCGGCAGCUUACCAUGCAGUCGAGCGGUAACAGGGGGUGCUUGCACCCCGCUGACGAGCGGCGGACGGGUGAGUAAUGCAUAGGAAUCUGCCCAGUAGUGGGGGAUAGCCCGGGGAAACCCGGAUUAAUACCGCAUACGCCCUUUGGGGGAAAGCAGGGGAUCUUCGGACCUUGCGCUAUUGGAUGAGCCUAUGUCGGAUUAGCUAGUUGGUGGGGUAAAGGCCUACCAAGGCGACGAUCCGUAGCUGGUCUGAGAGGAUGAUCAGCCACAUCGGGACUGAGACACGGCCCGAACUCCUACGGGAGGCAGCAGUGGGGAAUAUUGGACAAUGGGGGCAACCCUGAUCCAGCCAUGCCGCGUGUGUGAAGAAGGCUUUCGGGUUGUAAAGCACUUUCAGUGAGGAGGAAAACCUUCUGGUUAAUACCCAUGAGGCUUGACGUUACUCACAGAAGAAGCACCGGCUAACUCCGUGCCAGCAGCCGCGGUAAUACGGAGGGUGCAAGCGUUAAUCGGAAUUACUGGGCGUAAAGCGCGCGUAGGUGGUUUGAUAAGCGAGAUGUGAAAGCCCCGGGCUUAACCUGGGAACGGCAUUUCGAACUGUCAG
rnacentral:rRNA from 1 species